rnacentral:lncRNA from 1 species
GAGGACUAAAGGAUCAUUCAACAUCCAUCCACAUCAUCAUCAAGUUAUGCAAUGCAACAUAUUCGUGAAUUCUAAUGCAUACAACCUAGUAUAUCUCAUGAUAUACGUGAUGCAUGUAUCAUGCUCAAAAUUUACUUAUUUGCUUUGAAACAUAAAGAGUUAUUCCACUCACCUCUGGCUGAAGCUCUAAUGACUCUGAAGCAGCUAUCUCACUGCUGAGGUCCUCGGUUCCUCGGGUCCGAACCUACACAGGUGGACUCAAAUGAGGGACCAAACAUCCAUGAACACGACUCUAAAAUACUCCCCAAAAACCCCCUAAAACACCUUAAAACAAUCAUAGAAAUCAUACAAAGGAGGGCUGAACAGGGCACUUUCGGCGGCAGGUUCGGCGGCCGAAAGGCCCUCUAGAACCGAAAGUCAUGCACCUUCGGCGGCACUUUCGGCGGCCGAAGGUUCCCUCCAGAGACGAAACUCAUGCAUGUUCGGCGGCACCUUCAGCGGCCGAAACUCCCUUCCAGAGCUGAAAGUCCACUUUCGGGGGCAGGGUUCGGCAGCAGAUACAUGCUACCACAGGCAGGUUCGGCGGCCGAAAGAGUCUUUGGCUGCCGAACUUGAGUUCUUCCCAAGGGCAGAAACUCAGCCUCUUACAUGCACAAAAGCCUCCCAACUCAUCCCACAUGCAUUUACUUAUUCUACAAUAUGCAAACUCAAGCCAACAAGCACAUAGGGGUCUCAAACUAACUUAAACCCCAACCAAAACACAUCAAACAUGCAUAUUCUACAUACAUUGUUCAUAAACACACAUUUAACCAAAAACUCAUCAUAAGCCUACCCAUGCAUUUCUACCUCAAGAAACUUCAUAAAACUUGCUUAAAAUAUGAAAUGAACUAUGGAUCUACUCUUACCUCUUGAAGAACGAGAGGAAAGACGACCCUAGCUUGGAGAUGAGGAGAAACCAACUCUUUAGUCUCCAAGCUUCAAAACUUGCUCUUUUGCUCCAAUAUCUUCAAAUCAACAUAAAGCUUGUUAAAACGUGAAAGAUCGGAGGAAAAAUAUAAAAAAUGAACCAUGGGAGAGCAAGAACUCACCGUGGCCGAAAAUGGAGAGAAAACUCGCCUGUUUCGGCCAUGGAGCUCUUAUAUAGGGGCUGCCAGACCACCUUUCGGCAGCCUAAAGUGCCUCCAAAAAUCAUGCAUGUUCGGCGCCCGAACAUGAGGUUCGGCAGCCGAACCUUUGAAACUUUCGGAAGCCUAACUUGCCCCCCCAAAACCAUCCAAUGUUCGGCGGCCGAACCUGGAAAUGCCUCCUUGGUCUUUUUCAUUCAAAACUCAAUUCCUUUCUUGCUUAAAACCAUAAAAUACAUUAAAACAUUUUAUGAAAACAUGGUUUUACCCUUCUAGAGGUUUUCGACAUCCGAGAUUCCACCGGACGGUAGGAAUUCCGAUACCGGAGUCUACCCGGGUAUUACAUUCUUCCCCCCUUAAGAACAUUCGUCCCCGAAUGUUCACCAAACAAACAUAGCAUGGCAUAAAACAUAAACAUUCACAUAAAACACAUAACACUUACUUUAAAAGAGAUGAGGAUAUUGCUGGAGCAUGGACUCCCGUGUCUCCCAGGUACACUCCUCAAUGUUGUGGUGAUUCCAAAGGACUUUCACCAUCGGGAUUUCCUUGUUUCUCAAUUUUCUGAUCUGGGUGUCUAGGAUCUGUACUGGCUGUUCAACAUAAGUGAGAUCCUCUUGGAUCUCUAUAUCAGGCUCACUAAGAACCUUACUCGGAUCUGACACAAACUUUCUUAACAUAGAAACAUGGAAAACCGGAUGGAUUCUCUCCAUUGAAGCAGGUAAAUCUAGCUUAUACGAUACAUUCCCAAUCUUUUGCAAGAUCUCAAAGGGCCCAAUGUACCGUGGAGCUAGCUUACCUUUCUUCCCAAAUCGAAUCACCCCUUUCAUUGGAGACACCUUGAGCAAUACCAAAUCCCCCUCCUGAAACUCUACUUGCCCUCUGCGGAUGUCUGCAUAACUUUUCUGCCUGCUCACAGCAGUCUUGAUCCUUUCUCUGAUUAUGGGCACCACCCUGCUGGUGAUCUCUACUAGCUCAGGCCCUGCCAAGGCCCUUUCUCCAACUUCUUCCCAACAAACAGGUGACCUGCACUUCCUUCCAUACAAAGCCUCAUAGGGAGCCAUCCCUAUGCUAGCAUGAUGGCUGUUAUUGUAGGCAAACUCCACCAAAGGUAGAUGCUGCCUCCAAGAACCGCCAAAAUCCAGCACACACAUUCUGAGUAUAUCCUCUAUUGUCUGGAUGGUCCUCUCUGACUGUCCGUCCGUCUGUGGAUGGAAAGCAAUGCUAAAAUCUAACCUGGUACCCAUAGCAUUCUGCAGACUCCGCCAAAACCUGGAGGUGAACUGGGGCCCUCUAUCAGACACUAUUGAAACAGGAACCCCAUGCAACCUGACAACCUCAUCCACAUAUACUUGCACCAACUUGUCCACAGAAUAGCCACUCUUGACAGGGAUGAAGUGAGCAGAUUUGGUCAGUCUGUCCACAAUCACCCAUAUGGAGUCCAAUCUGUUGGACGCCGCCGGUAGCCCUACCACGAAGUCCAUAGCUAUAUUCUCCCAUUUUCACUCUGGAAUGGGUAGUGGGUUAAGCAUUCCAGCCGGCUUCUGAUGUUCCAGCUUCACCCUCUGACAUAUUUCGCAGGCUGACACAAACUGUGCCACUUCUCUCUUCAUAGCUGGCCACCAAUACACUCUCUUCAGAUCUUGAUACAUUUUGGUGGCUCCAGGGUGAACACUGUAUCUGGCAUUAUGAGCCUCCCUCAUAAUGUCUCCCUUCAGACCUACGUCAUCUGGUACACACAAUCAGCUCCCAUAGCGGAGGAUCCCCUUACUGUCAAAUCUGAACUCUUCAUUCUUGCCUGACUAAACAGUCCUGGCAAUCUUUACUAACUCUGGGUCCUCAUACUAUUUCUGAGUCACCUACUCCAGAAACACGGGUGCCACUCUCAUCUGGGCUAUCAAAGCACCUGUACCAGACAACUCCAACUGUAGACCUUCAUUGAUGAGCUCGAAGAACUCCCUCACUAUUGGCCUCCUCUCUACUGAAAUAUGAGACAAACUGCCAAGUGAUUUCUGGCUUAAAGCGUCUGCCACAACAUUCGCCUUACCCCGAUGGUACUGGAUCUUGCAAUCAUAGUCACUGAGCAGUUCUACCCAUCUUCUCUGCCUCAUAUUCAAUUCCCUCUGACUCAAGAUGUACUGCAGGCUUUUAUGAUCCGUGAAGAUCCCACAUUUUACCCCAUAAAGGUAAUGCCUCCACAUCUUGAGUGCAAAGAUUACCGCUACCAUCUCUAGGUCAUGUGUAGGGUAAUUCAACUCGUGCUUCUUCAGCUGCCUAGAAGCAUAAGCAAUCACCCUUUCAUUCUGCAUUAGCACACAACCAAGUCCCACACGGGACGCAUCACAAUAGACUGAGAAGUCUUCAUUACUAGAUGGCAGAGCGAACACUGGUGCUGAAGUCAACCUCUUCUUGAGCUCCUCAAAGCUUUCUUCACACUGGUCGGUCCACACAAACCUCUGGUUCUUCUUAGUCAGUCUGGUCAUAGGAGCUGCAAUCUUAGAGAAGUCCUGGACGAACCUCCUGUAGUAACCUGCCAAACCCAAGAAGCUCUUGAUCUCUGUCACUAUAGUGGGUCUAGGCCAGUUAGCUACAGCUUCCACUUUCUUGGGGUCUACCUCGAUUCCAUUUUCUGGCACAACGUGCCCCAAGAAUGAAAUGCUCCUCAACCAGAACUCACACUUGGAGAACUUGGCAUACAAGCCGUGUUCCCUCAAGGUCUGCAAGACCAACCUCAGAUGAUGGGCAUGCUCCUCUGCAUUCCUGGAAUACACUAAGAUAUCAUCUAUGAAGACAAUAACAAAGUGAUCCAGGUACUGGCUAAAUACUCUGUUCAUGAGAUCCAUGAAUGCUGCAAGGGCAUUGGUUAAGCCGAAUGGCAUCAUAAGGAACUCAUAGUGCCCAUAUCUGGUUCUGAAAGCUGUCUUCGGCACAUCCUCGUUUCUUAUCCUCAGCUGAUGAUACCCCGAUCUCAGAUCUAUUUUAGAGAAACAACCUGCUCCCGCUAGCUGGUCGAAUAGAUCGUCAAUCCUUGGCAAUGGGUACUUAUUCUUGGUAGUGACCUUGUUCAACUGCCUGUAGUCGAUACAAAGUCUGAGAGAUCCAUCCUUCUUUUUCACAAAUAGCACUGGAGCACCCCAAGGUGAGGUACUCGGUCGGAUGAAGCCUCUAUCUACCAACUCUUGCAACUGCUCCUUAAGCUCUUUCAAUUCUGUUGGCGCCAUCCUGUAGGGAGGGAUAGAGAUCGGUCUAGUUCCAGACAUCAACUCAAUUUCGAACUCUAUCUCCCUAGCAAGAGGUAGGCCUGGCAGCUCGUCUGGGAAAACGUCUAAGAACUCACUGACCACGGGCACUGAGGCGGGCUCUCUAACAUGACUAUCCAGCUCUCUCACAUGAGCCAGAAAACCCUGACAACCCCUCCUGAGUAGCCUACGAGCCUGAAGGGCUGAUAUCAAACCUCUAGGAGUACUCCCCCUGUCUCCUCUGAAGACAACCUCUGACCCAUCCUGACAUCUGAACUUGACUACCUUGUCUCUGCAGUCCAAGAUAGCACCAUGGGUAGAUAGCCAAUCCAUCCCUAGAAUGACGUCAAAAUCUGUCAAAUCUAGAACCACAAGGUCGGCAGAAAGGCAUCUCCCUUCAACAAAAACUGGACUAUACUGGCAGACUGACUCUGCCACUGACGGGUCGCACUUGGGUCCACUGACCCAUAGGGGACACUCUAACCCAGAGACCAUCAAUCCCAACCUCUCGACGGCCCUCGGAGCAGUGAAAGAAUGAGAUGCACCAGGGUCCAUUAAGGCAUAAACAUCUGAGCAACCAAUGAUGAGAUUACCUGCCACCACGGUGUUCAAUGCAUUUGCCUCCUGCUGUGUCAUGGUGAAGAUCCGUGCUGGGGCUGAUGGACCUUCACCUCUGAAACCCGCUGAAGAAGAGGCUGCCCCUCUCCCUCUACCUCUGCCACUAGCCUGAGUCGUGGCUGGAGCUGCUGGCUGAGCCACACUACCAGAAGCUGUCUGCUGAGACUGUGCCAUAAAAGCUGCUCUAGGACACUCCCGAGCCAUAUGUCCCUCCUGCCCACACCUAAAGCAGGCUAUCGUCCCAACCAGACAUACUCCUUUGUGCAGCUUCCCACACUUCCUACAUACUGCAUUAUCUGCACCUGAGCUCGAGCCACUUCCCAAUCCCAGACCUGACUUGAUCUUGCUCCAGAACUUGUUCUUCUUUGGCUUCUUGGUGGUACUGCUCCACCCCUUACUGCCUGAACUCAGAGAAGAAGGGUCUAACUUGCCCCCACCUGGGGUCUUGGAACCAGAAGGCUGUGCCACUGAUUGUUUAACUUUCCCUUCAAUGAUUGCACUAGCCUCCAUCCUCCGAGCCAUGCCCACUAUGGCAUGGAAACUCUCCCUCUCUGUUGACUGAAUCAAGGAGGAAUACCUGGAAUGGAGCCUCAUGAUAUACCUCCUUGACUUCUUCUGAUCUGUGUCCAGAUUCUGCCCAGCAAACGGCAACAGCUCCAAGAAUCUGUCUGUAUACUCAUCCACACUCAUCUCAUCUGACUGCCUCAACUGCUCAAACUCAAUCAUUUUCAACUCCCUUGAACUGUCAGGGAAAGCCCAUCCUACAAACUCAUUUGCAAACUCCUCCCAUGAUAGGCUGUCCAAUCUCGGGUUCACAUAGUUCUUGAACCACUCUCGGGCCUUCUUGCAUUUCAGUGUGAACCCAGCCAUCUGAAUGGCUCUACUGUCAUCAGCUCCUAUCUCAUCUGUAAUCGUUCUGACCCUCUCAAGAUACACAAAUGAAUCAUCACCGGUUUCAAACUGGGGAGCACCCAACUUCAUGUAGUCGGUCAUCUUGACCUUGCUCCCUCCAGAUGAGCUAUGUUUAGGCAUUUGGGUUUCUGGGACAGUAGGUGCUGCUGAUGGUGGAGGAGGUGCAGCAUCCCCUGGGGUAGGGUUUGCUGUACCUGGGUAGAAGGACGGGGGUGGGUACAUAGGAUACUGUGGGUAUGGUGGGUAGAAAGAUGGGUAUGGCAUGUGAGAAGGGUAAGGAUUAAAACUGGGGUAAUCCGAUGUACCUCCCAUCAAAUACCCGGGAUGCUGAGAAAAGGGUGGGUACUGGGGUGGCUGAACAAAUCCCGAUGCCUGAGUGCCUCCUUGGGACUCUCCCAUGCCCUCUCCAGACAUACUUACUCCAAGGCUGCCAUCCCUCCUCUGAUCCACAUCCAUAUCAUCCCCCACAUCCUCUGACAUUCCUCCUUGAACUGUUCCCCUUACUGAUCUACUUCUGUUCAUAUCCAAAGACCUUCUAGGGUCUCUCACUGCUCUUUCCCUGCUAGAUCUGCUAGACAUUGCCCUUGGCAAUGCAGGGGGACGGGCACUCAUGCCCUCAUCCUCCGGUAGUACUCCAGUCAAUCGUGCAGAUCGACGAGUUCCUCUCAUCCUGUUUACUGAAAAACAGCACACAUCACAUAAACAUUAGCAUCAAAUGGUUCAUGUGCCAACACAUGAACCCGCAUCACAUACAUCACAUACAUAGCAUAUCAUUAAUGCACAUGCAUAUAAUCAUGGCAUUUCACAUCAUCAUUCAAGACAGGACUCUAGAUCCUAUCCUAGUGGACAUGAUUUUCCUAUUGUGCUUGACCUUCUAGAACAUCUAUGAGCCCGACACUCUAGGUCCGACCAUAUGAACCUAGGGCUCUGAUACCAAUCUGUAACAACCCGAAAUCCGGACCGCUACCGGCGCUAGGAUCCAGAUCGGCUUAAGGCCGCUGGGACCCGUAGCAAGCCUAACAUACAUCCUGUAUACCUGUUUAAUCCCAUACAUGAUCAACAAUUACAUAAAAAUUUAAAACUUUUUCAUUUAAUCAUUCAUUCACUCAUUUAUUCUUUCAUUCAUUCUUUCAUUCCUUCACCAAGCUUAACCUGUGCAUGCACAAAUCAUAACAUAAAGCCUCACACUGGAGUCCUCAUCAAAUACUCCAAUGGGGUAACAUAACAUACAUUAAGCUUGGUUUACAAUAAUCAUCAUUAAACAUUUAAGAUCAUGUACUAGAAAGGGAUUAACAUUCAUACUAUGGUCAAGCAUAACUCUAAACUUCCAUAAGCAUUAUUACAUUACAUUUCUAUACUAUACUUUUACAUUACAUCAUAUUCAUGUCCACAUCUAGCUAUUACAAUAACAUAACUCUACUCCUGCUGACCUCCUGGUCUACCCUGUACCUGCAAACCUAGGGGUUAAGGGAGAGGGGUGAGCUAUAAAGCCCAGUGAGCAGAAUAAUAACAUAUUCAAUUUAUAUUUUCAUGCUUUCAUGAAAUGCAACACAGCACAAACAAAUCACAUCAAGGAUGGACCUGUCACCAAUAGUCCUCUAUAUAGUCCAAUCGUGCCAGGGGUGUAGAAUGGGCCUCACUAGUCUUUCUCUUAACAUAACAUAACAUAACAUAACAUUCCAUAGUGCCAGGGGCGUAGAAUGGGACUCACUGGUCUUUCUCUUAACAUAGUGCCAGGGGCGUAGAAUGGGCCUCACUGGUCUUCCAUACCGUAUCAUCAUCAUAACAUAUCAUACGAGGACUAAAGGAUCAUUCAACAUCCAUCCACAUCAUCAUCAAGUUAUGCAAUGCAACAUAUUCGUGAAUUCUAAUACAUACAACCUAGUAUAUCUCAUGGUAUACGUGAUGCAUGUAUCAUGCUCAAAAUUUACUUAUUUGCUUUGAAACAUAAAGAGUUAUUCCACUCACCUCUGGCUGAAGCUCUAAUGACUCUAAAGCAGCUAUCUCACUG